CUACACGGGUUUCUAAUCCUGUUCGCUCCCCACGCUUUCGCGCCUCAGCGUCGGACCAUGCCCAGCGAGCCGCCUUCGCCCCCGGUGUUCUUCCGGAUCUCUACGCAUUCCACCGCUACACCCGGAAUUCCGCUCGCCCCUACAUGUCCCCAGCCUCCCAGUAUCCCCCGCGGACCGGAGUUGAGCUCCGGGCUUGUACGGUGAGACUUAACAGGCCGCCUGCGCGCGCUUUACGCCCAGUAAUUCCGAACAACGCUCGCACCCUCUGUAUUACCGCGGCUGCUGGCAC
rnacentral:rRNA from 1 species